rnacentral:lncRNA from 1 species
UUUGAAGUCUUAGAUUAGUUAGAAAGUGUUUUGAUUUGUGUUUCUAAGUGUUUUGAUUCAAGUUUUCACUCAAUUUCGUCCAAGUUCUUGUUAGGUUCUCAAAACUGCCCAGAAAGUGGUUUUUAGGCAGUUUUGAGUCAUUAGGUUGCUGUUUUGAGUUUUAGGUUUGUUUAAGUGUUUUAAAGUUUAGUUUUGCAUUCUUUGAGUCUAGUUUAGUGUUUUAAACCUUUGUUUUUAGAGUUUUUAAAGUCAGUUUCCAAGUGUUUAGCAAUCCCUCCUAAUCCCCGGUCUAGAACGAUCCCUACUUACAUCUUUACUACAAUUUGACAAAAAGAGGGUUUAAUUUGUGUGCUUAUCUAUUUCGCAUCAGUUCUUUGUUAGCCCACACUAUCCUUACCUAGCCUAGUUUUAGGAUCAUCCAUACCCUUGUUCUUGAAGCAUAGUAAAGCAUGACCUAAAAUAAACUCCUUUUUUAUCAAUGUAUUGCAGAAAGCAAGUGUGGGGGAAGUGAUUCUUGUGUGUGUGUGUACCAAAGUCCUUAAUAAGGCACGGGUAGAGAAAAGAAAAAAAAGAAAAAAAGGUAUGAAAAAAAGCUCUAAAGUGUUGUUUGUUAAAAAAGGGUCCAAAACAUUGAAUUUGGCCCUAAGUGUUGCAUGAAUCUUCCCUUUGUAUGGAAAAGUUGAUUCUACAUUCUAAAGUGAAUUCUAGGUGUCUAUUUCAUUGCUUUGCUUGCUAUCGCUUUAAGAACAUUUGUUAUUCCUAUUCUUUCUUUGUUAGCCAUUACCCCCAAGCCCUAUUACAACCCUUGACUUCAAUCUUGAGUGUUGUGCGUUUCAAUUUAUGGAGUUCAAAAUUGGUAUGAGCAUAUUGUGUCACUGGUUCUUGCAUCUAAGUAGUAGCAUACAAUUCAUGAGAUCAUAUCAAAACAUGCUUAAUAACUCCAGAAAAUUGCUUCCUUUGUUAUAACAUAUGUGAGUCCCAGUCUCUAGUGUAGGGUGUGUAGUCAGAAAAUGUGUGUGAAAAUAGAGAGUAUCUUGUAAGGAAUUGAGCAAAUUCUCUAAGGCAUGUUACUACAUUCAAAACAUUGUUUUCAUUGGUUAAUUGUGAACUAGUAAGUAGUGACUGUGAUUAAGUUUGUGCUCAAGUGUGAAGAUAACCAAAAUCUGUGGCAAUCAUGAUUUUUAACAUGUCAUGUGCAUUGGAAAUCCCUGAGGCAAAUGUUAGAAGGUUAGGUUGUGUUUUGUUUGUUUUGUUUCGUUUUGUUCUUUUGUUUUGCUCGAGAACUAGCAAAAGCUAAGCGUGGGGGAAUUUGAUAGGAGCAUAUUUAUGCAACUUAGUUAGCUUGUUUCUUGGCAUUUACUUAGUUUAAUUCUAGUUAUUUUAGUACUUUAAGCUAUUUUCGUGUGUUUGUAGGUUCAAAUAACAAAGUUGGCAACAAAGUGCUAUUUGGAGCAUUUUGGAGCAUUUUUGGGCCAAGAUUGGAUAGUGCAAGCAUGGAGACACGAGGAUGGACGUUUUUGAAGAUUAGAAGGCUAGAAAUCAGCAUGUGUGUGUGCAAGUGUGUUGACCUACAACUACAAACAUCCAUCCACUACACCCAUUACAUCCACUCAUUACCAAACAUCCAUCCACUACACCCAUUACAUCCACUCAUUACCAAACCCUCAUCCACUACACCCAUUACAUACACUCAUUACCAAACAUUCACCCACUACACCAAUUACAUCCACUCAUUACCACAAUACUCACCCACUACACCCAUUACAUCCACUCAUUACCAAACAUUCACCCACUACACCCAUUACAUCCACUCAUUACCACAACAUACUCCACUACCACCUUAAUUAGAUGGUGGUCCUCUCCCUAGCCUAUAAAUACAUCCACCCUUCACCAUAACAAAGAGGAGAGAUAUCAAUCCAAAACACACACACACAUCAUCUACACAAUUCUCCACUCUUUGCCGCAUUCAAUACAACCUUCAUCCAAACACAUCCAUUCAUCUUCACAUCCAUUCCUCCAUACAAAAAAACCCUCAAACACUUACCAACACCUUGUGCCGUAGCAAAGGAAGGGAAAGAAAGUGCUUGGACAUGCUUGCUGUCCAACUUGGAUCGUUGGAGCGUUUAGGUGGUUUCUUUCUUUUGUUUCCAAUGUUUAAAUUCAUUUUGUUUUGUUUUGUUGUGAAUAUGAGUGGCCAAACCCCUCUUGGCUAGGGGUGAUUUCAAAGCCAUGAUUAUGUGUGUAAUAUGAUUUGAUAAAUUCCAGUUAUGAACUCUUGAAUCGUAAAUGCAAUUGGGUUAACUAUUUUAUUGAUAACUUAUUUGUAUUUGUUGAUUAAGGGUCGACACUUAAUUGGCACGCAUAAAUCCAAUGCUAGAAUAUAAGAAAGUUUCACAUAAUCGUUACAAACUUAUAUUCAUAAGUAGUGGAGGUCGCUUAUAAACGAUCGCGUUAAGUUUAAUUCUAGCAUGAGUAACAUGAUGUCAUAGUUGCAAGUGCUUUGUCAAUGCUUAUGAUUUUCAUUAAACGUAAUGAUCUUUGAUUAUAUCUCUAUUAUGAUUUCAUGUAGGGAACUUUAGAAGAAUGUUUUAGAUUGUCGAAUGAUGUCAUCCAAUCCAAUAAAACAAGGAAAAUCUGAGAGUUAACUAAUGAUGUCACGGUUAAUUUGGAGCAUUGUCGUUCAUAAUUCAAUGAAUUAAUAACUGGAAAUCGAGUUAUUUGCAUACAUGUCAUGUGUGGAGAAAAAGCCUCUAGCUAUCCCAUCCAUCAUCUUAUUUCUCACAUUUGUUUUACAAUCUCUCUAGUUUUUCAUACUUGUUUGUUUGUUUCAACUUCAUCCAAAUCAAAACCCCCCUUUUAGUUUCUU